CCCAGAAUAUGUGAACGUGACUGCAAAUAAAUGAUUUGGGGAAGAGGGCUGCAGUAAAUAAGGAGGCGAGACAGACCACGAAAGGAUGAUAACAACCACAGAGUUGAACACAGAAUUCAUCUAGACUCAUGAGCCUGUUUCAGUCUUGAGAUCUUCGGUAUUCUGGAUAUGGAUAUAAUGACUGGAACUUGGGCUGACAUAUGGACCCCAAGAAUGAGAGCCACACUAGGGAGGCUUGAAGCAGUGAGCUAGAAGCUUCUGAACUGAAUGGCUUCCUAAAUUAAUUGUUCCAGACCAAAACUGCUUACUCUUGACUUUGUUGCUGUCUCUUACACCCUCCCCCUGAACUUCUGGCCUACA